rnacentral:rRNA from 1 species
AUGGACGCUGCAGUUGAUCGCCUGGGCCAGAGGGGUGUUGCUACGGCGAUUUGCAGAAACAGCUAUGACCUAUACUUGGGUUCUUCGGCUAUUGUAUAUGCUGGCAUUACAGACCCGGCAGUGCUUGAAUCAUUUGCAUGCCGAGAUGCCAUGGCCCUAGCUGAGGAUUCGGGAGUUCAGGAAAUGUUUAUUGCAUUGGACUGCACAGGAGUAACGAAAGAUAUCAAGCAAGGAUCCAGUGGUCCUCAUGGAGCGAUCAUCAAGGAAAUCAAUGCCUAAGUAGAUGCUUUUAUUUCAUGUACAUUUACUCAUGAACGUAGGUCUUGUAACUUCGAAGCUCAUAAUAUCGCCAAAUUCGCUUGUAAUAUAGGUACUGGGCAUCAUGUCUGGUUGGGUCUACCACAUGACCAUUGUCUUGUACCUAUGAACAUUGUUGAUAUUCAAUAA